ACUUAUAUAAUAUAUAAAGUAUAUUUAACUUCCAAUUAAAAAGAUUAAGUUUUUAAUAUAAGUA
rnacentral:tRNA from 1 species